GUGCUUAGCACAGCCAUGGCCCGCGGUCCCAAGAAGCAUCUGAAGCGUGUAGCAGCUCCAAAGCAUUGGAUGCUGGAUAAGCUGACCGGUGUGUUUGCUCCUCGUCCAUCCACCGGUCCCCACAAGCUGAGAGAGUGUCUCCCACUCAUCAUUUUCCUAAGAAACAGGCUUAAGUAUGCCCUCACAGGAGAUGAAGUGAAGAAGAUCUGCAUGCAGCACUUCAUUAAAAUUGAUGGCAAGGUCCGAACUGAUAUAACCUACCCUGCUGGAUUUAUGGAUGUCAUCAGCAUUGACAAGACUGGAGAGAAUUUCCGUCUGAUUUAUGACACCAAGGGUCGCUUUGUUGUUCAUUGUAUCACACCUGAGGAGGCCAAGUACAAGUUGUGCAAAGUGAGAAAAAUCUUUGUGGGCACAAAAGGAAUCCCUCAUCUGGUGACUCAUGAUGCUCGUACCAUCCGCUAUCCUGAUCCACUCAUCAAAGUGAAUGACACCAUUCAGAUUGAUUUGGAGACUGGCAAGAUUACUGAUUUCAUCAAGUUUGACACUGGUAACCUGUGUAUGGUGACUGGAGGUGCUAACCUGGGAAGAAUUGGUGUGAUCACAACAGAGAAAGACAUCCCGGGUCUUUUGAUGUGGUUCACGUGAAAGAUGCCAAUGGCAACAGCUUUGCCACUCACCUCUCCAACAUUUUCGUUAUUGGCAAAGGCAACAAACCAUGGAUUUCUCUUCCUCGAGGAAAAGGUAUCCGCCUCACCAUUGCUGAAGAGAGGGAUAAGAGACUGGCAGCCAAACAGAGCAGUGGGUGAAAUGGUCUCCAUGUAACAUAAUAACAUGUUAAAAAGUUAUUUGUACUUAAUUAAAGAUAU